rnacentral:rRNA from 1 species
AUUGAACGCUGGCGGCAGGCCUAACACAUGCAAGUCGAACGAGUGGCGGACGGGUGAGUAAUGUCUGGGAAACUGCCCGCUGGAGGGGGAUAACUACUGGAAACGGUAGCUAAUAACGCAUACCAUCGGAUGUGCCCAGAUGGGAUUAGCUAGUAGGUGGGGUAACGGCUCACCUAGGCGCCGCUCCCUAGCUGGUCUGAGAGGAUGACCAGCCACACGGGAAGUGAGACACGGGCCAGGCUCCCACGGGAGGCAGCGGUGGGGAAUAUUGCAAAAUGGGCGCAAGCCUGAGGCAGCCAUGUCGCGUGUAUGAAGAAGGCCAUGGGGUUGUAAAGUACUUGCAGCGAGGAGGCGUUACUCGCAGAAGAAGCACCUGCUAACUCCGUGCCAGCAGCCGCGGUAAUUC